CCUACGGGGGGCUGCAGUCGAGAAUAUUCGACAAUGGGCGAAAGCCUGAUCGAGCGACGCCGCGUGGUGGAUGAAGUCCUUCGGGACGUAAACAUCUUUUAUGAGGGAGGAAAUUAUUGACGCUACCUCAUGAAUAAGGGGCUCCUAACUCUGUGCCAGCAGGAGCGGUAAUACAGAGGCCCCAAGCAUUACCCGGAAUCACUGGGCGUAAAGGGUGUGUCGGUGGUUGUAUUAGUCGUUUGUUAAAUCCCGGGGCUUAACUCCGGAAUCGCGGGCGAAACGGUACAACUUGAGGGCGUAAGAGGUGAAUGGAACUCAUGGUGUAGGGGUGAAAUCCGUUGAUAUCAUGGGGAACACCGAAAGCGAAAGCAAUUCACUGGUACGUUCCUGACACUCAAACACGAAAGCGUGGGUAGCGAACGGGAUUAGAUACCCUGGUA
rnacentral:rRNA from 1 species